rnacentral:tRNA from 1 species
GGAUUGUGGCUCAGGGGUAGAGCGUUUGCCUCACGUGUGUGAGGUACUGGGUUUGAUCCUCAGCACCA